GGAGAUCGGGACCCUAGUUACUACGCACACACAAUGCCGAUAAUCAUAGUUAAGAAAAGAAAAACAUGAUUAAGUUUUAACAAUAUUGAAUCUGAGAGUUGUAAACAUAAAAAGUAAACUCAUGAUUCUUUUUGGAUGCAGCAAAACUAGAACCUUCACUUUUGGACGCAGGCAAAACUAGAGCCUUCACUUUUGGACGCAGCAAAACAAGUUUGUCAAGGUUUACAAAACAGCAUAAAGAGACCUUCAGACUCUGAUUCCGAUCAGCUUGGUUCGUCCUACAAUUAUAUACUAACACAUGCUCCUUAUCCAAGCUUACU
rnacentral:lncRNA from 1 species